GACUGAUAUUAUUGUUUGCA
rnacentral:miRNA from 1 species